AGAUAACAAAAGUGAUGGGAUUUGUUCUUAUAUAUAGAAAAAACUAGAUGUCGACUAGCCGUUGUACAUUAGCCGUUAGAAAAUAGCCGUUUCAAACUAGCCGUUAUUUAGAUGUCAACUAGCCGUUGUAAAUUAGCCGUUAGAAAAUAGCCGUUUCAAACUAGCCGUUAUUUCAAAUUUUUUUUAAAUGAAGAAUACUUUAUUGUUAUGAUAAUUAAAGAUGUAGAAUAUUUUAUUGUUGUAAUAAAUGCAGAAUUCUCUAAAAUAGGGAAGCUGUUGGAGUUGGAGCAAUUUUUUUUGGAGAAUUUGACUUUUGCUUCUCUAUUUUUUCUCUAUUUUGGAGAAAUUUUAAGAAAGCUGUUAGAGAUGCUCUUAUGUAUGAAGAUAUGUAUUUCUUACGGUUGGAGAUGAAUUCCUGGCGGUUUGUGAUUUGUUACGAAAGAAUUGGAGUAUUGUGCGUUGUUUACUUUUAUGGUAAAUUAUUGAUUUGAGUAGAACAAAGUCUUUCACACUUUUUCAUUCAUCUUGGGUUUGGAUCUGUGGCAGCCACCAUUCUGGACUGGCGGUUCCGAGCGGUGAAGAUGAGAAGGGGCGGAAGGGUUGCUCGAACGGUGCAGCGAGGGGGAUGAUGGUUGCGUCGGUGUUGGGUGGGGAUCAGAGCGAGAAAGGCUAGGGUCGUGCGGCUCGUCGGCUCUUUGGGUUUUGUAAGCCGCUUUUUGGGUUGGACGGUGGCUCAAAUAUGCAUGGUGGCAGCACUUUGGUCGGCGGUCUGGUGGUGGUGAGUUCGAUCAUUCCGGCUGCGAUAUUGUGCUCAGGAAAACGAUAGCGGCGUGGAGGAGGAGGAAGGGCAGACCUCAUCAGGUUGGAGUGCCACAGAGGCUGGUGCCCUGAGCAAUUGUGAUGUUUAGCCUAGGUCAAGACCCCGGGUCAGAUCCGAGUCCUUUCUUCAUCUGGAACUAUGAAAUCGAUUCGGGCUAGAAUCUAGUCCUGAUCAGCUUUUGGGUAUGGGGCUUUUUGGCCGUGUUUUUAGUUUCAAUUUUAAUUCCCAUUUAUAUUCGUUUAUAUUUUUUAGAUUUUGUUACAUUCCUUAAACAGGGCGUCAUUCCACAUACACAUACUCUUCAAUGAAGUGUACAUGAUAACAUUACCAGUGGCUCUAUUACAAAUUAUUGGUUUUUAUACUGCCCCACUUUUCAUCAAACCAAUUGUGUAGCUCUCCAUUUAUAACACUUUAUUGCUUUUACUUUCCUUAACGUUUUAUUAAUUGCCAAGAAGUUUAUUCCAAUUUAAUAAAAGUUUGUCAACUAGCUUAAAAAAAAUUAACAUAAUGUGUUUUUGUGUAAAUUUUUUAAUACUAUUCUUCAGACAUAAGGUGUUCUAACUUUUUAUUUUUUCUUUUUAUUUUUUGUUGUUUCUAACUCAUCAUCAUCAUUCGGUGCUUUGAUAGCUCUCAACGGCAAAAAAUUCAAAUUAAAAGUGCACACUCCACAGGUUGAGUUGAUCUUCAAGACACGUACAAUUUAAAUGAGGAGAUCCAGUUUAAUUUAGUCGACAAUGUGACCAAAAGAGAGAGAUUGAACUGAUUUAGUUUCACCGUUCUUUUGGGGUGCGAUUCGCC
rnacentral:lncRNA from 1 species